AGAGUUUGAUCCUGGCUCAGAACGAACGCUGGCGGCAGGCUUAACACAUGCAAGUCGAGCGCCCCGCAAGGGGAGCGGCAGACGGGUGAGUAACACGUGGGAAUCUACCCAUCCCUGCGGAACAACUCCGGGAAACUGGAGCUAAUACCGCAUACGCCCUACGGGGGAAAGAUUUAUCGGGGAUGGAUGAGCCCGCGUUGGAUUAGCUAGUUGGUGGGGUAAAGGCCUACCAAGGCGACGAUCCAUAGCUGGUCUGAGAGGAUGAUCAGCCACAUUGGGACUGAGACACGGCCCAAACUCCUACGGGAGGCAGCAGUGGGGAAUAUUGGACAAUGGGCGCAAGCCUGAUCCAGCCAUGCCGCGUGAGUGAUGAAGGCCUUAGGGUUGUAAAGCUCUUUUGGCGGGGACGAUGAUGACGGUACCCGCAGAAUAAGCCCCGGCUAACUUCGUGCCAGCAGCCGCGGUAAUAC
rnacentral:rRNA from 1 species